UACGAGAGGCCCAAACGUUAUUCGGAAUUACUGGGCUUAAAGAGUUCGUAGGCGGCGCAACAAGUGGGGUGUGAAAGCCCUCGGCUCAACCGAGGAAUUGCGCUCCAAACUGUUGUGCUUGAGGGACCUAGAGGUGAGCGGAACUGAUGGUGGAGCGGUGAAAUGCGUUGAUAUCAUCAGGAACACCGGAGGCGAAGGCGCCUCCCUGGGGGUCUUCUGACGCGGAGGAACGAAAGCCGGGGGAGCGACGGG
rnacentral:rRNA from 1 species